rnacentral:miRNA from 1 species
UGUGUGUGUGUGUUUGUGUGUGUGUGUGUGUAACAUACUUACACACCCACACACACAUACACACACACAAC